rnacentral:rRNA from 1 species
UUUUUUGUGGAGGGUUCGAUUCUGGCUCAGGAUGAACGCUGGCGGCGUGCUUAACACAUGCA